ACAACGGCUCUUUUAAGAGCCACCACAUGUGACCGAAAGAGCAUUU
rfam:Tetraodon nigroviridis chromosome 7 SCAF14536, whole genome shotgun sequence.